CCUACGGGGGGCAGCAGUGGGGAAUAUUGCGCAAUGGGCGAAAGCCUGACGCAGCGACGCCGCGUGAGGGAUGAAGGUCUUCGGAUCGUAAACCUCUGUCAGCAGGGAAGAACGGUCACUGUGCUAAUCAGCAGUGAAUUGACGGUACCUGCAAAGGAAGCACCGGCUAACUCCGUGCCAGCAGCCGCGGUAAUACGGAGGGUGCGAGCGUUAAUCGGAAUUACUGGGCGUAAAGCGGUCGUAGGCGGUAUGUCAAGGCAAGGGUGAAAUCCCCGGGCUCAACGUGGGAGCUGCCUGUGAAACUGGCAAAGUGGAGUGUGUGAGAGGGUAGUGGAAUUCGAGGUGUAGGAGUGAAAUGCGUAGAUAUCUGGAGGAACAUCAGUGGCGAAGGCGACUAUCUGGCACAUAACUGACGCUGAGGAGCGAAAGCGUGGGUAGCAAACAGGAUUAGAUACCCUUGUAGUC
rnacentral:rRNA from 1 species